GUAAUGGAGGAGGAAGAUGCUGUGAGAGCUGGUCCAGUCACCAAAAUAUACUUGCAUGAUAAGUAUGGAUGCAUUAAUUAUAUGCCGAGUGAUUACCCAGAGGGGGAAUCAGAAACAACACAAGAAGAUAAGCAAAGCUUAUUAAAACAGAAAUACAAAGAAAAACUUCAUGAUGAAGUGGAAUAUCUGAUGAAGGAUAUCUACUUUUCUCAAAGGCAAGACAUCAUACAAAGGAAAAUGGAUGUUCUUCAUUUAAAAAUAGAAUGGCCUUAUUUAUUUGAGGCAGCAGGAAUGUUCGUUCAUUUUAUGGAACUCACUGGCAUUAACAUAAGUGAAAAAGUAGAGUCUGCCAUUGCUAGUAAGGGAGCACGAAUUCUAAAAUGGAUAGAAGAAGAACCAAACAUGAAUAUAAGGAGAAUUCAACAGGAACUUGUGGAGGCUAAAUGCUCUGUUGAUAAUGGCAAUGCAGAGGUAGCAGCUAUGAUCUGUGCUGCUAUGUCUUACCUAAAUGAAAAAGAAGACUCUCUGUAUGUAUGUGUAAAGCCAACUGCAGCUAGACCUGAAUUGGAAAAGGACCUUCCCAAGACACCAUGUUUAAUAGGCUUUGGGGCAUCAAGGUUGACGGCAACCAGAUAUAUGUUGUCAAUUGAUGGUGUUGUUGUCACUGACCAUAUCGCAACAUUUACUACUGGGCUGGCUAUGCUGCUGGCCUCCUACUACAACUUCAAUAUAAUGUACCCUGUUGAUUCUGCAUCGACACUGGAGUU